rnacentral:rRNA from 1 species
AGCGAACGCUGGCGGCAGGCCUAACACAUGCAAGUCGAACGAACUCUUCGGAGUUAGUGGCGGACGGGUGAGUAACACGUGGGAACGUGCCUUUUGGUUCGGAAUAACUCCGGGAAACUUGUGCUAAUACCGAAUGUGCCCUUCGGGGGAAAGAUUUAUCGCCAUUAGAGCGGCCCGCGUCUGAUUAGCUAGUUGGUGAGGUAACGGCUCACCAAGGCGACGAUCAGUAGCUGGUCUGAGAGGAUGACCAGCCACACUGGGACUGAGACACGGCCCAGACUCCUACGGGAGGCAGCAGUGGGGAAUCUUGCGCAAUGGGCGAAAGCCUGACGCAGCCAUGCCGCGUGAAUGAUGAAGGUCUUAGGAUUGUAAAAUUCUUUCACCGGGGACGAUAAUGACGGUACCCGGAGAAGAAGCCCCGGCUAACUUCGUG